GUGUGUGUUUUCUUUUUUUUUUUGUUUGUGUUUGUGUGUGUGUGCGGCAAGCAACAAGAAACGUUCAACAAUUGUCGGGAUAGGGAAAUUUGAUAAAAGACUGAGUCUAUUUAAAGCAAAUUUUGAAACUCGAACCGUUGGCCUACUCGAUCAGAAUGAUUAUCCCAUUUGUCAGGCAACGGGCGACGGAUUAACGAGACGAAGAGUGCGCAAUGCGCCCCCCCCUCCCCCUUCCGGAUGCAGCGACGCCAACGCUAGCGGCGACGGCGACGCCGACGUUGUUUGCGGCCUACGUAUUGCAGUCAAAAGAACCAAAGCAAAACGAACGAUCAAAAAGUAAACAAAAUUAACAGGCACUGAUCGAAUACGAAAUACCACGCAAUAGAAUUUUUCGAAUAUAUAUCACACUUGAAAAAUUGUUUUAAAAUAUAAA